rnacentral:lncRNA from 1 species
UUUUUUUUUUUUUCUUUUUUUUUUUGUCUUUGGUUCUUUUAGGGCCCCAACUGUGGCAUAUGGAGGUUCCCAGGCUAGGGGUCUAAUCGGGGCUGUUGCUGCCGGCCUAUGCCUGAGCCACAGCAACAAAGGAUCCGAGUCGCGUCUGUGACCCACACCACAGCUCACGGCAACGCCAGAUCAUUAACCCACUGAGUGAGGCCAGGGAUCAAAUCCUCAACCUCAUGGUUCCUAGUCGGAUUCGUUCUCACUGCGCCACAAUGGGAACACCCUACGACUUCAUCUUAACUUCCUUAUUCUCAAAAUCCCCAUCUUCCUUGCAACUCAUGCUGCAUGUGCACACGGACGAGCAUCUCGCUGUGCACUGUCCAGCACAGUAGCCACAAGCCACACGUCCCCAGUAAGCACUUCCAAUGUGGCGAGUCAAACUGAGAUGUACACUACUUCUUCCCUUGGGGAAGCUAUAAAAACUCAACUGUCCCUUCUACCAUUACGAACCCACGUAGCGACAGCAUUUAUACUGCCUCGCACUGAUGAUCCUGGACACUCACGGGUUCUUUCUCUCUAUGACUAGUGCUGUGGGUCCUCUCCCCAAACCUCCAAUCUCUAUUAGCUUUCUGAGGGUGCCUUCUCAAAUCACAAUAUAACUACCUCUAACGACCCCCUUGUAAUUAAACUGGAAAUCAUAUUAAGCCUAGGAUUUGAAUUUGAUAAAUUUAAAUGUUCUCCCAACAGAUACUACGGAAACAAUUUCCUGCCAUUUUGGAAUCUGUCAAAACUCACGGAGUAAGUCGGAGCCAAAUCCAGGAAAAAAACCCACAACCAAUAUUUUUCCAUUUCUUUUGUUCACAUACAAAGUCAAGAUGACUUUGACAUAAAGAACUUAUGAACAUCAGACAGAAUUCAUUCAGUACAGCUCCUCUAAAUCGUAUCUUUCAAAAAAAAAUAGUUUUUUAAGAGAAGAGAAAUUUUAAAGAGGGGUUGUGUUAAUAUAUGACUUUGCAAAACACUGCAUGCUAUAGCCAUCUCUUUGGCAAUAUGCACUUGAGCCCAUUAUAGUUCAGAAGAGUCCUGGAGUUUUUUGUUUGUUUGUUUUUGUUUUUUAAACCAUUAAAUUUUCUUUAACUGAAGGUUUUUUUCUCCCAAUAUUACACAUUCUCCUUUACUGGACAUGACUCCAGUUCCAUAGCCUAAGGCCCUAGUGUCUGUGCAGCAUAGUUUGGCAAAUGCUGGUCUUGAAAAGUACAUAGGAGGGAAAGAGAAAUGAACACAGUGCCAACUCAGUUUAAGGAACAUUCUGUAUAACUUUAGCAAGCAAUACAGCUGCUUUGGACCUCAGUUUUUCUAAAACCGAGAGUUAUGGUGUAUGUUGCUCACAGCUAUAUAAUGCAAAAUUACUCUAAUAUAUUUUCCACUGCAAAGGCAAAUCAUAAACUUUAUUCCUUAAACCAAAAAUCAACCAUUUAGUGUAUAAUCUUCAGACUCCACUGGGGCUCCUAGAGAUGGUCCUUACAUGAAAGAGCUCACAUUUAGCUGAGAAUUCUCACACUUCAGUAAAUCACUACAGGGAGCUAUUAGAGGAACAAAUACUGAUUCAGCCCAAAAGGGUCAGGCCCAGAAAGCUCUAAGGAGGAGGAGUGGACCUGAGGGAUGAAUAUCAAUUUAUUCAAAGGGCUAAAGGUGAAGGGCAUCCCAAACAGAGCGGAGUUUAAGAAUAUGAAUCUUUAAACAGUCUGAAAGUAAAUACAUUCCUCUGUAAAUACAUUUCACCCUAGCCUCUUCAAUGCGUGUUCUACUUCCACCUUUGCAAAUAUUAAUAUCUUAUCUAUCAGUGUGGCUCGUUUACAAGAAGGUUGAUACCAAACAAUAACAGUCCUUAAAAAAUAACAGUACUUUUAAAAAGCAACCUUGGGUUAGUGCACAGUUUUAUAAGAAAUAAUACGUGCAUGGCAUAGAACUGAGAAAGCAUCUGCCUACUUCUAUUGACUAAUUGAUUAAUAAUGACCCUAUUUUCAAUUUCCAUAUUACAGACACCCAACACACACAAAUACAUUAACCACCAACCCUUAAACGUUAACAUUCUUUCUAAAAUCUCAAUGCAUGGACUCAAAAAGCAUCAAGAGAGAAAAACAAGAGCCAACAUAUGUGACACAAGAACAAACACGACAUCAGAUCUUGGUACAGAGUAACGGGUCCACUGAAUGUUGGGAGCUAUUUUCCUAAGUUUGAGAGGUAGAUACAUAGUCUGUAGUGCUAAAAAUAAAGUUGUACAAUAUCUCUAUGCUUCUUCUUUACAUCUCCACUCAACAAGGUCUUUAAAAAUAGCCUAAGGCUCUUUUCCAGGGAGAGGCACUGAUACACAGAGCAAGAGGAAAAAAAAAAAAAAAAAUCAUAGGUCACAAAUAUAAAGUGCACUUCAUCUUUUUCUUUCAGAGAACAUUUGAGCUUUUUUUUAAAUGAAGCAUUCAACUGUGCAUCUUUUCAUUGUUCUUAAAACAAAAUGUACAGGCAG